AGAGUUUGAAUCCUGGCUCAGGACGAACGCUGGCGGCGUGCCUAAUACAUGCAAGUCGAGCGAAUCUUUGGGUGCUUGCACCCAUUGGUUAGCGGCGGACGGGUGAGUAACACGUGGGCAACCUGCCUGUAAGACUGGGAUAACUUCGGGAAACCGGAGCUAAUACCGGAUAAUCCUUUUCCUCUCAUGAGGGAAAGCUGAAAGAUGGCGCAAGCUAUCACUUACAGAUGGGCCCGCGGCGCAUUAGCUAGUUGGUGAGGUAACGGCUCACCAAGGCGACGAUGCGUAGCCGACCUGAGAGGGUGAUCGGCCACACUGGGACUGAGACACGGCCCAGACUCCUACGGGAGGCAGCAGUAGGGAAUCUUCCGCAAUGGACGAAAGUCUGACGGAGCAACGCCGCGUGAGCGAUGAAGGCCUUCGGGUCGUAAAGCUCUGUUGUUAGGGAAGAACAAGUAUCGGAGUAACUGCCGGUACCUUGACGGUACCUAACCAGAAAGCCACGGCUAACUACGUGCCAGCAGCCGCGGUAAUACGUAGGUGGCAAGCGUUGUCCGGAAUUAUUGGGCGUAAAGCGCGCGCAGGCGGUUCCUUAAGUCUGAUGUGAAAGCCCCCGGCUCAACCGGGGAGGGUCAUUGGAAACUGGGGAACUUGAGUACUGAAGAGGAAAGCGGAAUUCCACGUGUAGCGGUGAAAUGCGUAGAGAUGUGGAGGAACACCAGUGGCGAAGGCGGCUUUCUGGUCAGUAACUGACGCUGAGGCGCGAAAGCGUGGGGAGCAAACAGGAUUAGAUACCCUGGUAGUCCACGCCGUAAACGAUGAGUGCUAAGUGUUAGAGGGUUUCCGCCCUUUAGUGCUGCAGCAAACGCAUAAGC
rnacentral:rRNA from 2 species